rnacentral:lncRNA from 1 species
UGGUGGUAUAUUAAACGGUCACUGCAGUGGUGGGGGUUUUCGUGGACUGGCUAUGAGAGGGGCAUUGUAACCUAAUUAUAUACCUACCUCCGGGGGGAGAUGUUGGAUGAAGUAUCUCCUGAGGUAAGAUUUGAGUGCACCUCACGUUCGGGCCACCACAUGAGAGUGAGACUCAGCCAACGCCAAGGAACGGCUGUGUGUCAGAUGUGAAAACAUGUUUAUGGGUAUGGG